rnacentral:rRNA from 1 species
GAUGAACGCUGGCGGCGUGCCUAACACAUGCAAGUCGAACGAAGCACCUUACCUGAUUCUUCGGAUGAAAGUUUGGUGACUGAGUGGCGGACGGGUGAGUAACGCGUGGGUAACCUGCCCUGUACAGGGGGAUAACAGCUGGAAACGGCUGCUAAUACCGCAUAAGCGCACGAGGAGACAUCUCCUUGUGUGAAAAACUCCGGUGGUACAGGAUGGGCCCGCGUCUGAUUAGCUGGUUGGCAGGGUAACGGCCUACCAAGGCAACGAUCAGUAGCCGGUCUGAGAGGAUGAACGGCCACAUUGGGACUGAGACCCGGUCCAAACUCCUACGGGAGGCAGCAGUGGGGAAUAUUGCACAAUGGGGGAAACCCUGAUGCAGCAACGCCGCGUGAGUGAAGAAGUAUUUCGGUAUGUAAAGCUCUAUCAGCAGGGAAGAUAAUGACGGUACCUGAAGAAGAAGCACCGGCUAAAUACGUG